rnacentral:rRNA from 1 species
CCCCGGCGAGGGGAGUGAAAAAGAACCUGAAACCGUGUACGUACAAGCAGUGGGAGCACGCUUAGGCGUGUGACUGCGUACCUUUUGUAUAAUGGGUCAGCGACUUAUAUUCUGUAGCAAGGUUAACCGAAUAGGGGAGCCGAAGGGAAACCGAGUCUUAACUGGGCGUUAAGUUGCAGGGUAUAGACCCGAAACCCGGUGAUCUAGCCAUGGGCAGGUUGAAGGUUGGGUAACACUAACUGGAGGACCGAACCGACUAAUGUUGAAAAAUUAGCGGAUGACUUGUGGCUGGGGGUGAAAGGCCAAUCAAACCGGGAGAUAGCUGGUUCUCCCCGAAAGCUAUUUAGGUAGCGCCUCGUGAAUUCAUCUCCGGGGGUAGAGCACUGUUUCGGCAAGGGGGUCAUCCCGACUUACCAACCCGAUGCAAACUGCGAAUACCGGAGAAUGUUAUCACGGGAGACACACGGCGGGUGCUAACGUCCGUCGUGAAGAGGGAAACAACCCAGACCGCCAGCUAAGGUCCCAAAGUCAUGGUUAAGUGGGAAACGAUGUGGGAAGGCCCAGACAGCCAGGAUGUUGGCUUAGAAGCAGCCAUCAUUUAAAGAAAGCGUAAUAGCUCACUGGUCGAGUCGGCCUGCGCGGAAGAUGUAACGGGGCUAAACCAUG